rnacentral:rRNA from 1 species
AUGCUGGUGUCCAUGUGGCAUUUUGGCAAUACCAUCCACCCAUGCGAGUUCUCCGAUCUGUUUGAGAUUGUAUCCGAGGGCAAAACCAUAGAUGGCCCCAUGUGGGACCACGUUCUCGGUUACUGGAGGGCAAGCAAAGCCACUCCGGAGAGGGUCUUUUUCCUGAGGUACGAGGAGAUUCCGCUCAAUCCAGUUGCCAAUGUCAUCAAGCUGGCACGGUUCCUCGGGGUGCCAUUCUCAGCCAUCGACGAGGCAGCUGGGCUUUCAGCAGACAUCGUGAAGCUGUGUAGCAUUGAGACGAUGAAAGGUCUAGAAGCGAACAAGACAGGCGCCUCCGGCCAGUUUUAG